rnacentral:rRNA from 1 species
AGCAGCCGCGGUAAUUCCAGCUCCAAUAGCGUAUAUUAAAGUUGUUGCAGUUAAAAAGCUCGUAGUUGAAUUUCGAGAUCAAAUUGUUGGUCGUGCCUUGGUACGCACUGGCAUUAUUGGUUUCUCCCUUCUGACGAACCAUGAUGUCAUUAAUUUGGUGUCUUGGGGAAUCAGGACUGUUACUUUGAAAAAUUAGAGUGUUUAGAGCAGGCUCACGCUUGAAUACAUUAGCAUGGAAUAAUGAAAUAGGACGUUUGAUUCUAUUUUGUUGGUUUCUAGGAUCGACGUAAUGAUUAAUAGGGAUAGUUGGGGGCAUUAGUAUUCAAUUGUCAGAGGUGAAAUUCUUGGAUUUAUUGAAGACUAACUACUGCGAAAGCAUUUGCCAAGGAUGUUUUCAUUAAUCAAGAACGAAAGUUAGGGGAUCGAAGACGAUCAGAUACCGUCGUAGUCUUAACCAUAAACUAUGCCGACUAGGAAUCGGAUGAUGUUAAUUUUUAAUGACUCAUUCC